rnacentral:tRNA from 1 species
GCGCGAUUGGCUCAGUGGUAGAGCGCUUCGUUCACAUCGAAGAGGUCGCAGGUUCAAUCCCUGCAUCGCGCACCA